GGGACCGUCAUGGUUGUGUCAGUACAGUCUUCAAUCCACCAGGACAAGGCAAAAAAGGCAUCGAGGAGUCGGUGUGGCAGCUUGCGAAAGCUUAUGCUGCUGUAAAUGAUUCUGGAUAUCAUCAGCUUAUCAGCCACUGGUACGAUGUCUAACAUAGAAAGCGACAUAUUUUAUCAUCAGGUAGCAGUUUGGUUCUAGUUUACAUGCUAAUAAUUAUUAUUUGCAGGUUAAACACACAUGCUGUGAUAGAGCCAUUUGUGAUUGCAACACAUAGACAGUUGAGUGAGCUUCACCCGAUACAUAAGCUUUUGCAUCCGCACUUCCGGGACACAAUGAACAUAAAUGCCCUGGCCAGGCAAAUCCUCAUCAAUGCUGAUGGGGUACUUGAGAAAACAGUCUUCCCAGGUCGAUUCUCCAUGGAAAUGUCAGCCGUUAUUUAUAAGAGCUGGGUAUUCACCGACCAGGCAUUACCUGCUGACUUAUGCAAGAGGUAAGCCAGAAAGCCUAAAUUGAAAAUAAUAAGAUUUGAACUUCCAUCAAACUGAAUAUCAUUUCGCUUCUGGUCUAUUUCAGAGGAAUGGCAGUUCUAGAUAAGACCUGUCCUCAUGGCCUCAGACUUCUGAUUGAAGAUUACCCAUUUGCUGUUGAUGGGCUAGAAAUCUGGUCGGCGAUUCAAACUUGGGUUGAUGAAUACUGCUGUUUGUACUACGAAUCAGAUGAUGCGGUCCAAGUUGAUUCUGAACUCCAGGACUGGUGGACAGAGCUUCGCAAUGUAGGCCACGGUGACAAGAAGAAUGAACCAUGGUGGCCUAAGAUGCAAACAAGAGAUGAACUUAUUGAAUCAUGUACCAUAAUUAUAUGGGUGGCUUCUGCCCUCCAUGCAGCUGUCAAUUUCGGGCAAUACUCUUAUGCUGGUUACCUCCCUAACCGCCCAACUGUAAGCCGACGCUUCAUGCCUGAGGCAGGCACUGCUGAAUAUGCUGAACUUGAGUCCAACCCUGACGCAGCUUUCCUCAAAACAAUUACAGCUCAAUUGCAAACUCUCCUUGGUGUAUCUCUGAUAGAGGUUUUAUCACGACAUUCAACUGAUGAGGUUUAUCUUGGGCAAAACGAUACUCCUGAGUGGACUUCAGAUGCUGAAGCACUAGCAGCAUUUGCAAGAUUUGGAGAGAAGCUGAUGGACAUCGAAAAGGGAAUCAAUGAAAGGAACAAGGAUAUGAGAUUGAAGAACAGAGUUGGGCCUGUAGACAUGCCUUAUACCUUGCUCUAUCCUAACACAUCAGACACGAGCAGAGAGGGUGGACUCACUGGAAAAGGAAUUCCCAACAGUGUCUCAAUCUGAACCUUUUGAUCUGUAUACUAGAUGAAUAUUUUUGAAGUAAUAAUAGUGUGACAUCGUACAAUGGGAGUGAAAGACUACCAAAUAGGUUUUUUGUAAUUCUCAUAUUCUUUUCUAUAAUCUUGUACCUAAGUGAUGGUGCAGACGGCACUAUCUUAGUAAUGUGCAUUAGUUGUGCAGCUGUAAACAUAUGCUUCCCUGAAAUCAAGAACUCGUGAAACCUACGGGUUGUGCCUCUCUCGGACUCAAAUUAUUGUUUUCCCCUCAAUAUCUAUUAUAUAACUUUGAAGCCAAAUGUAACUGUGAAUCAAAGCUAGAAACAACCCAAAGAUGAACACUAUUAAACAGCUAUGGCAUUUGCCAGACGCAAACACUGUCACUAAUUUGCCAACAGAAGACUCAAAAAAGUAACUUGUGAAAGUUCAGAUGCAGAUCCAGAAUUUCAAUAAAACGAGCAAAUAUUAGUGUGAUAAGCAACUAUGAGAAGAUAAAAGACAAUGUUGCUAUCUUGAAAAGAAAAAAUUCACCCACCAUCUCAUUGAAAAUCCAAUUACUUGCUCUAAUAGUCAUUUUUGAACUCCCCAAUUCCCAUCUUUUACAUUUCACUUAUCUGUAUAUAUGUCUCUUCUUUUUCACUCACUCACAGUUCCCUUUCUUCCAAGGUUUAUGUCGAAAAUCCCAUACGAAAAAUUGACAUCAAUAAAUUACAAUAUAUAAUAUACAUGGUUUCGUUCCUAAUUAUCCCGAGAUCUUUUAUGGUAAAACCUGUUAACUACAUUGUAGUGUUUGGGAAUUGAAAGGAAAAUCAAGAAGAAAGAUGAAGAGAAGAAAGAUCAAUACAGAGAGUUUGAGAGAGAGAGAGUUUAGAGAGAGAAAUAGGAUUUGUAUUAACUUGUCAAAUGAAGAUUACACAUACUGUUUAUAUAGAAAUCCUAACCACUUUAACCAAAUACUAACUACCUAACUAUAUUACAUUCGUACCCUUAAUACUCCCCCUCAAUCUCAACUGGGGAAACCCAGUUUGAGAUUGGACGAACAUCUGCAAUCACUGCUAUUAAACUAUAAAACAGAACACAGAGUUGAACCAACUGGAGUCUUGCAAUCACUUGAAACUUCAAAGGCUGUUUUUAAUGAAGUCACAUCUCAGGACACCAUUUUGGGGAAAUCUACUGCUUCAAACUUUCUUCUCAACCGAGACAUUCUGACAAUCAGAAAUGCAAUUAACCAAUUUCACAGUAUCAUCACAAACAGAAACACCACCCUUAUUUCCCAUGAUCCAAUUCUUUAAGCCUGGUGAUUGAACCUCAAUGUAAUGGACUUCUGAACAUGGCGACGAGAACUUUCUUCUGUUCCUGAUUUUCUAGACUGUUGGCUUUUUAAAGUUUCGCCCUUGUCGAUGUAAUACAAUCCCGAGUAAGGCCAUUAAAAUUUUCCAUAUGAGCCGAUUUCUCUAUAUGUUGGCUUUUCAAGCAACAUCUUUCUUGGUCAGCCACUUGUGAGUUUGCAAAUUUGCUAUAAUCCUGACCUCAAUCUUUUCGAUCUUUUCCUCCAAAUUAGCCCCAUUGUCUCACUGUUGUACUGACAACAAUCCACCACAGAAACAGUCUCCAAUCUAUCAGUUGAUCUUUCUGCAUUCGUCAAUCGUGACAUCUUUCCUCUGCCUUCUAAUAGGAUCAGAUUCAUUGUUGUGGCUGAGCUCUAUUCAGAUUUAUAGAAUACAGAAGCCAUUCCCCUGUCCAAAUCAAUCAUGCACAUUUCAAGAGUGUACACAGGUUCAAAGUUCUACUGGUUUUUCAUCUGCAUUACCGACUUCUUCCGGUUUAACCCAGGCUCUUAUUUCAAACAUGUAAAAUAUGUCUGGAACUUCACAGACCCUUGAUAUGAUUUCUAAUUUUCAAAGCCAAAUGCAACAGAUAGUUCCACAACAGCAGUGGCAGCAGCAAGGAUAUAUCCCAAAACUUGUCCAAUCUCCACUAAAAUAGCAGCAACAGUAACCAACUCAGUCGCAGUCCUCUCAAAAAUCUAUUAAGCACAUAUUAAAUCUUAACAAACCUUCUAUGGUGAAAUCACAUCCAUCUAGUCUUCAACAGAAUCAACAAUCUCCCAUUCAUCAGUCAACACAAUCUAUGCUUCAGCAGCAUCCACAGUCAUCAAACAACAAGCUUUACAAUCACAGAAAUCAAGAAACACAACCCUCUUCGGCAAUCGGCCUUUAAUGAAGAAAGGGAACAAGAACUGCACUCCGGCAAUCGGCCUUAAUGGAGUUGCACACAAUAACGACAAACAAAAACUAUUCAAGAACGUUACUCCGGCUAUCGGCCUUUAAGGAGUAACACACAAUAUCUGAAACAUAACGUUUCACUCCGGCUAUCGGCCUUGUGGGGAAACAAACAACUUACACACACUUCUGGCUAUCGGCCUUUUUGAAGUGGGUCAUAAAAGGGAAAUGGCUAUCGGCCUCUCUAUCCCACCAAACACCUCAUUUAUCUACAAUUUUCAUGAUUUCAACACUUAUGGCUAUCGGCCUCUAACAAUUAUGCAAUUUGAAGCAAAAAACUUUGACUGCGACAUUCCAUCAAACACAUAGAGUGCAAGAUAAAGGAACCUGACAUUCUGCGAACCUUGAAUCUGUAUCCCAACUAGAGAAGAUAUGAACGAAGAUAUACCUCUGUUUCGAUCAGAAAUCAAAUAUUUUCUUACUGAAACAUUUAAUCAAACAGAUUAUGUGCAUUGUGAAAACCCAGAAAUCAAGAACCUGAUAAGAACUUCAAUCUUGACCCAAGAAUGCUAAGAGAGAAAACCAGAAGUCUCUCAUCGAUCUAAGGCAAAAUAUGGAAUAAGAACAAGAUUCAGCCUGACAACGAAAGAAACGAACCCUUUCGAGCCCAGCAAUAGGAUGAUUCGGGACCAAUCGACCAUGUUCUUGGCUUCAGAAACAUUAGAAACCAUGUUAGAAUUGGAAUCGCAGGCCGGCGAUAAGAUAAGAAGUCCCUAAUCAACGAUUGCCGGCGAUCAGCGCCCUCGCACCGCUAAUCUCCAACGGUCAUUGCUCCACCAUUUGCUGUUUCUCCACGACGCGUCGUUUUCAGGGCCUCGGGACCUUGGCGGUCCUGCUGAUCUCAUAAAUCAGUAUAAGCUUUGUCGUCAUCAUGAAUUCUUUUGCAAGAGAUCACUGCCUUUGUCAAUAUCAGAGACUCAUUAUCUACAUAAUGUGGUGGGAGACACAUCAAUCAAGAACACCGAGAAUCGAAAUCCCAUGAAACAGAUUCGGGUACCACACUUCUUCUCUCAGGCUUUCCUUCGAACACCUUGUGAACAUGACUCAGGGUACUUACUUGCCGACUCUGCAUCAGAACAAGAAAUUCAAUCCCCAAAAUCGAUGAGAAGUAAAGAUCGGUGAAAAUCAAUCACGUUCAAUAGAGAAAUCUCUGAUCACAAUCCAGAAAGUUCAACCUAGAAGUAAAACAACGAUCGCGGAAGCACUCAAAAAUUUAUUCGAACAUCUAAUGAAAAUUUGGAAAGAACUAAGCUAGAAACAUAUGAAAAAUAAUGGGAAGUGGAACCACCAGAAUCUAUGGCGUGAGCCUGGUGGCUCUGAUACCAUGUUAACUACAUUGUAGUGUUUGGGAAUUGAAAGGAAAAUCAAGAAGAAAGAUGAAGAGAAGAAAGAUCAAUACAGAGAGUUUGAGAGAUAGAGAGUUUAGAGAGAGAAAUAGGAUUUGUAUUAACUUGUCAAAUGAAGAUUACACAUAUUGUUUAUAUAGAAAUCCUAACCACUUUAACCAAAUACUAACUACCUAACUAUAUUACAUUCGUACCCUUAAUAAAACCUUACUCACGUUGGGCUAAGAGGUGGUUAGUUUGAGCACUAUUGGUGUUCAACAGUUGGCCCAUCUCUAUGGAAUUUGACAGUUUAUACCAAGAAAACCUAUCAAAACCCAUAUUCCAUGUAACGUGACAAUAACAAAUUUAGAACCACGAACCAGUACAAAAUUCUAUAUUAACAUGGCUAAAUAGAACAUGGAAAAUAUAUUUCAAUGGGAAAAACAAAGGAAGAAGCAAAUAUGGGUUGUUUCUAAUACACUUUCAAACGCAUAGAGAAAAAAAGAAUAAAAGAGAGAGAGUGAGAGAGAAGACUUACUCCAUAUACAGUGGGAACUGGAGAAGAUUGAAGCUGUUCAUCGCUUGAGGGCUUGGACUUGGAGCAGAAAACCACAACCG
rnacentral:lncRNA from 1 species